rnacentral:rRNA from 1 species
UACAGAGGUCCCGAGCGUUGUUCGGAUUCAUUGGGCGUAAAGGGUGCGUAGGCGGUCGGGUAAGUCUGAUGUGAAAUCUCACAGCUUAACUGUGAAACUGCAUUGGAUACUAUUCGGCUUGAGAGUUGGAGGGGGGACUGGAAUUCUUGGUGUAGCAGUGAAAUGCGUAGAUAUCAAGAGGAACACCAGUGGCGAAGGCGAGUCCCUGGACAACUUCUGACGCUCAUGCACGAAAGCGUGGGGAGCAAACAGG